rnacentral:rRNA from 1 species
UGGGGAAUAUUGCACAAUGGGGAAACCCUGAUGCAGCGACGCCGCGUGAAGGAAGAAGUAUUUCGGUAUGUAAACUUCUAUCAGCAGGGAAGAAGAUGACGGUACCUGAGUAAGAAGCACCGGCUAAAUACGUGCCAGCAGCCGCGGUAAUACGUAUGGUGCAAGCGUUAUCCGGAUUUACUGGGUGUAAAGGGAGCGUAGACGGCGAAGCAAGUCUGAAGUGAAAACCCAGGGCUCAACCCUGGGACUGCUUUGGAAACUGUUUUGCUAGAGUGUCGGAGAGGUAAGUGGAAUUCCUAGUGUAGCGGUGAAAUGCGUAGAUAUUAGGAGGAACACCAGUGGCGAAGGCGGCUUACUGGACGAUAACUGACGUUGAGGCUCGAAAGCGUGGGGAGCAAACAGGAUUAGAUACCC